rnacentral:rRNA from 1 species
UACGUAGGGUGCAAGCGUUAAUCGGAAUUACUGGGCGUAAAGCGUGCGCAGGCGGUUGUGCAAGACAGAGGUGAAAUCCCCGGGCUUAACCUGGGAAUGGCCUUUGUGACUGCACGGCUAGAGUGUGUCAGAGGGGGGUAGAAUUCCACGUGUAGCAGUGAAAUGCGUAGAGAUGUGGAGGAAUACCGAUGGCGAAGGCAGCCCCCUGGGAUAACACUGACGCUCAUGGCACGAAAGCGUGGGGAGCAAACAGG